rnacentral:lncRNA from 1 species
UGGCCAAGAGGCGAGGACCUGAUAGCUGUUAGCACGUAGUCUAACGCACCCAGCCCGGCCUGCAACUCCUCUUGAGGGGACGAGAUUAACCACGUGGGAGCAGACACUCGUAGGGCGUUGGUGUUUCAAUUUUUUGACCACACGGGGAAAACACCAGAGAAAGACCCCCAACGGUUAUUUAGACCCCUAACCCCAGGACGGUUUAGGGUUUGAGAAUACCGAGACUACUCCCA